AAAUGCUGGGUUAUUUUUGUAACCCAAACGCUGGGUUAGGUACGGGUUGGGUAGUUUUAACCCAUAAUGUUAACCCAGCCAGUAACCCAUUUCAUUGGGUUACGAGACUGCUCUGAUGUCAGUGAAUGAUUGUUUCAAAUUUCAACUGACAAUAUGGGCCACGCUGCAGAAAAUGCUCAAGAAGUCGGUGAAAUUAAAGUCCUAUGUAAGUUGAAAAGAUAGCCAGGGAGCCUGUUGCUGGGUGGAGCUGUCUUGUUACUGUACGCGACCAUGUCUGAAAAUAAGUGGAACUAGUCGGUUUCUGAAGCAAAGAAGAUGGCCAGGACUCCUUGCUGAUAGAUGGGAGCCAGAUAGAGUUGGUAGAGCUACCCAGUUCUACUCUCUACUCUACCCAAGACACUUGCUGUUGGAUGGAAGCUGUCUGGUUUCAGUACAUACCUAAAUAUGCUGAGCCAGGUACGCCUUACUGCUGGAUAGGAGCUGUCUUAAGUUGCUAGAGCUGAGGAGACAGCCGGGCACUCCUUGCUGCUGGAUGGGAACCGUCUACAUUUGCUAGAGUGUUCCUCUGGCUGCAGUCUUCUCUCAUAAGAAUGAGGGGAUGAUGAUCCCUGCCCUGACUCUCCACACAGCCAGGGAGAGCGCGAGUAACGUGUGCACGCACACGAGCACGCACACACACACACACACACACACACACACACUACUGGAUGUCUUUCUGGAUGUCAGUGUUGUUUUAAUUAAUUAAGUGUGUGUCUUUAGUAAAAAAUUAAAAAAAAUAAUUAUAGUGUUAAAAAAUAUUAGAUGAGAUCCAUCCCACCCCCUAGUCACCGAAUCCUACCCCUCCCCUCGAAAAUAUUAGUUUACUACUUAUUCAUGAAAACAUAAUUUUUGGCAUUUCGCAGCACUGUUUCAAUGAAUAGAGUAGCUGUAAUACCUACAUUGGACACAAUCUUACACACUGCACCUUUUUAAAAUCCCUUGCGCAUAGAAGCAGUAAACUUUUAAAUAAGUCCAAUUCAAAGGAGUUAUCCGUACUGCAUAUUAUAGUAUGGUGUGUUGUAUUAUCUUUUUAUUGCCAGUAUUUCAUUGUAAUCUUUUUGGCUGCUACCGUAUGUUUUUUAUUUUAUUUUUAUUAUUUAUUUAUUUAUUUAUUUUAUUUAACGCCUGAAGGCAAGACAAAUAGUCUUUGGUGCAGGAAAGGUUUCUUAAUGGUUAUGGCCAUUUCAGUUAGAAGCCAAGUGUUUUGCUUAUUUCUGUGUUAAUUUUUUAUUUUUUGCCCUUAAUACCUACUGGGAUCGUGGUUGUUAAUUGAAUGCUUGAUUAAUUUUUGUUUUUUAGAAUAUUAAAUAAACUGACUUUCUACUUUAUAAGCUGUAUUUGUGUAGUAUUUGCAUUAUGCCAUUAUUAAUUAACAUUACAUAAAGACAUUAAAUGAAUACAAUA